rnacentral:rRNA from 1 species
AACGAACGCUGGCGGCGCGCCUAAUACAUGCAAGUCGAGCGAGAAGGUGUAGCAAUACACUUGUAAAGCGGCGAACGGGUGAGGAAUACAUGGGUAAUCUACCAUCGAGUGGGGAAUAACCAGCCGAAAGGUUGGCUAAUACCGCGUACGCUUCCGAGUCUUCGGGCUUGGAAGGAAAGCCGCACUGUGAGUGCGGCGCUCUUUGAUGAGCUCAUGUCCUAUCAGCUUGUUGGUAGGGUAACGGCCUACCAAGGCUUUGACGGGUAGCUGGUCUGAGAGGACGAUCAGCCACACCUGGCACUGCGACGACGGGCCAGA